CAUGCAGUCGAGCGGUAGCACAGGGGAGCUUGCUCCCCGGGUGACGAGCGGCGGACGGGUGAGUAAUGUCUGGGAAACUGCCUGAUGGAGGGGGAUAACUACUGGAAACGGUAGCUAAUACCGCAUAACGUCGCAAGACCAAAGAGGGGGACCUUCGGGCCUCUUGCCAUCAGAUGUGCCCAGAUGGGAUUAGCUAGUAGGUGGGGUAAUGGCUCACCUAGGCGACGAUCCCUAGCUGGUCUGAGAGGAUGACCAGCCACACUGGAACUGAAACACGGUCCAGACUCCUAC
rnacentral:rRNA from 1 species